rnacentral:rRNA from 1 species
GACGAACGCUGGCGGCGUGCUUAACACAUGCAAGUCGAACGGAAAGGCCCUGCUUUUGUGGGGUGCUCGAGUGGCGAACGGGUGAGUAACACGUGAGUAACCUGCCCUUGACUUUGGGAUAACUUCAGGAAACUGGGGCUAAUACCGGAUAGGAGCUCCUGCUGCAUGGUGGGGGUUGGAAAGUUUCGGCGGUUGGGGAUGGACUCGCGGCUUAUCAGCUUGUUGGUGGGGUAGUGGCUUACCAAGGCUUUGACGGGUAGCCGGCCUGAGAGGGUGACCGGCCACAUUGGGACUGAGAUACGGACCAGACUGCUACGGGAGGCAGCAGUGGGGAAUAUUGCACAAUGGGCGGAAGCCUGAUGCAGCAACGCCGCGUGCGGGAUGACGGCCUUCGGGUUGUAAACCGCUUUCGACGGUGACGAAGCGUGAGUGACGGUAAUGGGUAAAGAAGCACCGGCUAACUACGUG